AACAAACGCUGGCGGCAUGCUUAACACAUGCAAGUCGAACGAGAAAGUUCCCUUCGGGGAACUAGUAAAGUGGCAAACGGGUGAGUAACACGUAAGAACCUGCCCUUGGAUUUGGGAUAACAUUCUGAAAGGAAUGCUAAUACCGGAUAAUGUCUACGGACCAAAGGAGGGAUACUUCCGUCCGAGGAGGGGCUUGCGGCCCAUUAGCUAGUUGGUGAGGUAAUGGCUCACCAAGGCCACGAUGGGUAGCCGGCCUGAGAGGGUGUACGGCCACACUGGAACUUAGACACGGUCCAGACUCCUACGGGAGGCAG
rnacentral:rRNA from 1 species